rnacentral:tRNA from 1 species
GGAGAGAUGGCUGAGUGGUCGAAAGCGACGGUUUGCUAAAUCGUUGUAGCGCGUAAAGCGUUACCGAGGGUUCGAAUCCCUCUCUCUCCG